ACGAACGCUGGCGGCGUGCCUAAUACCUGCAAGUAGAACGCUGAAGGAGGAGCUUGCUUCUCUGGAUGAGUUGCGAACGGGUGAGUAACGCGUAGGUAACCUGCCUGGUAGCGGGGGAUAACUAUUGGAAACGAUAGCUAAUACCGCAUAAGAGUAGAUGUCGCAUGACAUUUGCUUAAAAGGUGCAAUUGCAUCACUACCAGAUGGACCUGCGUUGUAUUAGCUAGUUGGUGAGGUAACGGCUCACCAAGGCAACGAUACAUAGCCGACCGGAGAGGGUGAUCGGCCACACGGGGACUGAGACAAGGCCCAGACUUCUACAGGAGGCAGCAGUAGGGAAUCGUCGGCAAUGGACGGAAGUCAGACCGAACAACGCCGCGUGCGUGUAGAAGGGUGUCGGAUCGUAAAGCUCUGUUGUAAGAGAAGAACGAGUGUGAGAGUGGAAAGUUCACACUGUGACGGUAUCUUACCAGAAAGGGACGGCUAACUACGUG
rnacentral:rRNA from 1 species